rnacentral:rRNA from 1 species
GACGAACGCUGGCGGCGUGCUUAAGACAUGCAAGUCGUACGAGAAAGUCUCUUCGGAGAUGAGUAAAGUGGCGCACGGGUGAGUAACGCGUGGGUAAUCUGCCCUUAGGUUUGGGAUAACCCCGGGAAACCGGAGCUAAUACCGAAUGAGACCACGAUGACUUCGGUCGAUGUGGGAAAAGGUGGCCUCUUCUUGAAAGCUAUCGCCAAAGGAUGAGCCCGCGUUUGAUUAGCUAGUUGGUGAGGUAAUGGCUCACCAAGGCGACGAUCAAUAGCUGGUCUGAGAGGAUGAUCAGCCACACUGGAACUGAGAUACGGUCCAGACUCCUACGGGAGGCAGCAGUCAGGAAUAUUGGGCAAUGGGCGAAAGCCUGACCCAGCAACGCCGCGUGAAGGAUGAAGGCCUUCGGGUCGUAAACUUCUGUCGAGAGGGAAGAAUGCGUACGGGUAAAUAAUCCGUGCGUUUGACGGUACCUCCAAAGGAAGCACCGGCUAACUCCGUGCCAGCCGCCGCAGUAAAAC